GGCGAACGCUGGCGGCAGGCUUAACACAUGCAAGUCGAACGGGCGUAGCAAUACGUCAGUGGCAGACGGGUGAGUAACGCGUGGGAACGUACCUUUUGGUUCGGAACAACACAGGGAAACUUGUGCUAAUACCGGAUAAGCCCUUACGGGGAAAGAUUUAUCGCCGAAAGAUCGGCCCGCGUCUGAUUAGCUAGUUGGUGAGGUAAUGGCUCACCAAGGCGACGAUCAGUAGCUGGUCUGAGAGGAUGAUCAGCCACACUGGGACUGAGACACGGCCCAGACUCCUACGGGAGGCAGCAGUGGGGAAUAUUGGACAAUGGGGGCAACCCUGAUCCAGCCAUGCCGCGUGAGUGAUGAAGGCCCUAGGGUUGUAAAGCUCUUUUGUGCGGGAAGAUAAUGACGGUACCGCAAGAAUAAGCCCCGGCUAACUUCGUG
rnacentral:rRNA from 1 species